GGUGAGAUGAGUCUUCUGCUUAUUAACACAAGUAUGAAAAAUAGCUCAUGUUCAAGAUCACAGCAUGCAUAGGAGUCCAAACCAUCUUGAGAUAUUGGACAAAGGAAUUAGAGGUCAGCUGGGCAGAAAAAUGUCAGGUAGGUGGUUUGUGUUUGUUUGGUGACGUGUUCUAACAACACUGUGGUGCUGCACAAUGGGACAGAUACAUGGUGGUGUAUAAACAUUGUCAUCUACGUGAUGUAAAAUAACCGUUCAGCUCUGGUGAGGCAUCAGCUGAAGUAGCAGGUCUGGUUUUGUACUACGCUUGUUAGGAAAUGUAAGCGGUUCAGGAAGCAGCAAUGAGAUUGAAGUGAAAUCAAUAAAACAUCAGGACGUAAGUAUCUGAGAAUGAGAAGUGUAAGGAGAUAAGAGGUUCAGUAGGUUUCCCAACAGCGUACUUAAAGGAACUACAAGUCUUCAAAUACAAAGAGAACAAUUGAGUCCUUUCAUCUUUUCAGUGUCUUAUGUCUCCUUUCAUCUUUUCAGUGUCUUAUGUCUACGCUGGAUAGAAGAAGAAUUAAGAGACUUAUUGAUUCGAGGAAGAUUUAGACCAGUCACUGAGGAGGAACUAGCAGGAAGAGAUUUUCAAGGCAGGUCCUUGGGCUGUGUGUGGCAAUUGGGCACGUACCUGUUGGAAAUGCUUCAGGCAGAGUGACGUGGGUUGGCAUGUUACCUGAGCAGAGGACUCUAAACUGAGCACACUGUGCUGCUUUCGAGAGGGGCCAAAAGUCUGGAAGAAAGAUAAGCCUUGAGUUUACUUAAUACAUUCAAAUUAACUGGAAAAAAUGUUCCUAUUUAGUAACUGUAUUUGCACAAUGUCUUAAAAUGUAAACUCCUGUGAAACAUGCAUGAAAGGGUAUGAAGAAGUUAGACUAGCUACAUAUACUCAAGAAAAACACGUGUAAGUCCUGACUCUAUGAUGAUGUGCUCUUGUUAAACCUGAGCUGACUUACCAGAGGGACGUAUGAGAUGGA
ensembl:lncRNA